UCCCUUUAAUGUGAGGUAAAUUAUAGAUUAGUGUCACUACUAAUAUACUAGAUUGCCUACUUACAAGCAGAUGAGGAUGAUGAUGGGCUGCAGUUUGGCUCCACUGGUCUGGUGUAGAACAGGAUCUCUGGAGGCUGUUUGCAACUGUGGUCACAAAAUUCAGUGUUCUGGGAGAAUUGGAAGCAGCUCAAUUUUUUUGGGGCCCCUUACACAGCUCAAGGUCUGGGCCCCAGGGUCUGACGGUGAGUAUGCCCAUAAGGCCCACUCAUAAGUUCCACCCACCCAUGAGUUCGCUCACAGGGAGUGGAGUGUGUAGGGGAUGUGUUAUGUGUUAUUG
rnacentral:lncRNA from 1 species